CAGGGUCUUUGAGGCAUGGACCCGCCCCCCCAACCCAAAGUUGAAAGGGAAAGAUACUAUGGUGCAGCCUCCUCUCAGAGAGCCUAUCUUUGAGUGCAAAAACCCUGCUUCUAAAUGCCAGAAGUCUUCAUCAAGUCCAGGCAAACCCAGAGAUACCCCUGACCUCUAGCCUGACCCUACUUGAAGAUUACCUGAAGACAGGAGCAUGUUGUCCUUUGAGAGGCUCCACCCAGC